UACGAAGGUGGCAAGCGUUGUUCGGAUUUACUGGGCGUACAGGGAGCGUAGGCGGUUCGGUAAGCCCUCUGUGAAAUCUCCAGGCUUAACCUGGAACAGUCGGAGGGGACUGCCGGGCUAGAGGACGGGAGAGGAGCGCGGAAUUCCCGGUGUAGCGGUGAAAUGCGUAGAUAUCUGGAGGAACACCGGUGGCGAAAGCGGCUCACUGGAUCGACACUGACGCUGAGGUGCGAAAGCUAGGGUAGCAAACGGG
rnacentral:rRNA from 1 species